AACGAGCGCAACCCUUUUCUUAGUUGCCAGCGAGUAAUGUCGGGAAUUUAAGGAUACUGCCAGUGACAAAUGGAGGAAGGCGGGGACGACGUCAAGUCAUCAUGGCCCUUACGGCCAGGGCUAACACGUGCUACAAUGGUCGGUACAAAGGGUUGCUACCUAGCGAUAGGAUGCUAAUCUCAAAAAGCCGAUCGUAGUCCGGAUUGGAGUCUGCAACUCGACUCCAUGAAGUCGGAAUCGCUAGUAAUCGCGGAUCAGAAUGCCGCGGUGAAUACGUUCCCGGGUCUUGUACACACCG
rnacentral:rRNA from 1 species